rnacentral:rRNA from 1 species
UACAGAGGAUGCAAGCGUUGUCCGGAAUUACUGGGCGUAAAGAGCUCGUAGGUGGUUUGUCGCGUUGUUCGUGAAAACUCACAGCUCAACUGUGGGCGUGCGGGCGAUACGGGCAGACUAGAGUACUGCAGGGGAGACUGGAAUUCCUGGUGUAGCGGUGGAAUGCGCAGAUAUCAGGAGGAACACCGGUGGCGAAGGCGGGUCUCUGGGCAGUAACUGACGCUGAGGAGCGAAAGCGUGGGGAGCGAACAGG